CCGUGCUAGGUGGGGAGGUAGCGGUGCCCUGUAACUCGCAAUCCGCUCUAGCGAGACUGAAGUCCUUUUCUGAGGCUGUCCUUAUGUUUGGUCUGCCUCUUGCACGUAGCGUUGAAGGUUGGGUCCUGCGCAAUGGAUACCCACGAACCAUGUCAGGUCCGGAAGGAAGCAGCAUUAAGUGGCUUCAUCCAUGUGCCGCGGGGUAGCCUAACCUGAGCUGGCGACAAGAGUAACGCUUAUGUACGGCUGUCGAAGAAAGGUGCACGG
rfam:Lysinibacillus sinduriensis BLB-1 = JCM 15800 contig27, whole genome shotgun sequence.